rnacentral:tRNA from 1 species
AUACGUAUAGCUCAAGCUAGGUAGAGCAUCGGUUUCCAAAACCGAAGGUUGUAGGUUCAAAUCCUACUUCGUAUG